GCUUACGGCCACACCGCCUGGUUCACGUUUGAUCUCGGAAAAUAAGAUAGGUUGGGCCUGGUUAGUACUUGGAUGGGUGACCGCCUGGGAAUACCAGGUGCUGUAAGCU
rnacentral:rRNA from 14 species